CCAAUAGCGUAUAUUAAAGUUGUUGCAGUUAAAAAGCUCGUAGUUGAAUUUUAGGCCUGGCCAGGCGGUCCGUCUUUGGCGAGUACUGUCUUGUUGUCGGGUCUUCCUUCUGGUGAACCAGUAUGCCCUUUAUUGGGUGUGCCGGGGAGCCAGGACCAUUACCUUGAAAAAAUUAGAGUGUUUAAAGCGGGCUAUUGCUUGAAUAGAUUAGCAUGGAAUAAUAGAAUAGGACGUUGUGGUUCUAUUUUGUUGGUUUCUAGGACCACCGUAAUGAUUGAUAGGGAUAGUUGGGGGCAUUAGUAUUCAAUUGUCAGAGGUGAAAUUCUUGGAUUUAUUGAAGACUAACUAUUGCGAAAGCAUUUGCCAAGGAUGUUUUCAUUAAUCAAGAACGAAAGUUAGGGGAUCGAAGACGAUCAGAUACCGUCGUAGUCUUAACCAUAAACUAUGCCGACUAGGAAUCGGGCGACGUUAUUUUCACGACUCGCUCGGCGCCUUAUG
rnacentral:rRNA from 1 species